UACGAAGGGGGCUAGCGUUGCUCGGAAUCACUGGGCGUAAAGCGCACGUAGGCGGAUUCUUAAGUCGGUGGUGAAAUCCUGGAGCUCAACUCCAGAACUGCCUUCGAUACUGAGAGUCUUGAGUUCGGGAGAGGUGAGUGGAACUGCGAGUGUAGAGGUGAAAUUCGUAGAUAUUCGCAAGAACACCAGUGGCGAAGGCGGCUCACUGGCCCGAUACUGACGCUGAGGUGCGAAAGCGUGGGGAGCAAACAGGG
rnacentral:rRNA from 1 species